AACGAACGCUGGCGGCAUGCCUAACACAUGCAAGUCGAACGAGACCUUCGGGUCUAGUGGCGCACGGGUGCGUAACGCGUGGGAACCUGCCCUUAGGUUCGGAAUAACUCCCCGAAAGGGGUGCUAAUACCGGAUAAUGUCUUCGGACCAAAGAUUUAUCGCCUUUGGAUGGGCCCGCGUUGGAUUAGCUAGUUGGUAGGGUAAAAGCCUACCAAGGCGACGAUCCAUAGCUGGUCUGAGAGGAUGAUCAGCCACACUGGGACUGAGACACGGCCCAGACUCCUACGGGAGGCAGCAGUAGGGAAUAUUGGACAAUGGGCGAAAGCCUGAUCCAGCAAUGCCGCGUGAGUGAUGAAGGCCUUAGGGUUGUAAAGCUCUUUUACCCGGGAUGAUAAUGACAGUACCGGGAGAAUAAGCACCGGCUAACUCCGUG
rnacentral:rRNA from 1 species